CAGCAGCCAACAAUUGCAUUUGAAGAACCAAUGUCUGAAUGCCCAAAUGUAAAGAAUGGUAUGAAUCCUCAGUCGGAGAAUUCUGAACUUGAGCCAGAGAACUCUAUUUCAUUCUGCAGCAGGCUCCCGUCCCUUUGGAAAAGGUGAGGGUACAUAUGAUGAAUAAAUAAUAUCAUCAUAUUUUGCUUCAGUAGAAAAAAACCUGCGUGUGCAAGCAACAAUCUCUUCCUUGUUUCAAUAUUAAAUUGCUUAGUUGGACUAAAGCAAACCCUUAAAAACAAGAAAACCGCUUGGCAUCCAUAUCGGUUAGUAUAAACACAAAGGAAAUCAAUCAACGUGAACGAAUGACAUUGAGUCAACUUUGACUUUCUUUCCCACUGUACUUCUUUUUACUUAGGCUUCCUGGGAAUUAAUUUUUGGGAAUCCCUGAGGCUCAGAAAGCUCAAAGGAGUCAAUGGACUGAGUUAUGUGCCCCUUGCCCCCAGAUUCGUAGGUUGAAGCCCUAAGCGCCAACGAGCCCGUGUCUGCAGCUGGAGCCUUUGGGACGUGACCAAAGCUGAACAAGGUCAUAAAGCGGAGCCCUGAUCUUGUAGAAUUAGUGUCCUUUGUAAGAGACACCAGAAAGCUUGCUCUCCCCUGACAUGAUGGGACACGCAAGAUGGCAGCCUUUUGAAAGCCAGGAAGUCAGCUGUCACCUGAUGCCUGGUCAGUCAGCACCUGAUCCCAGACUCCCCAGACUCCACAGCUGUGAGGAAAUGUCUGGUGGGCUCAAACUGGAUAGAAAAGAAAAUCUGCUCAAAGUCUGGUCACAGGUUCCACUUGUUAAUAGUUGAUGGUGAACAAGCAGAGCGUAUGACUGUCACCAUGGGAAGGGUUCAGAGCUUGGACCGAGAAAACGUACUCUCCAUCUGGGAUUCUACUAUGACCAGUUGUGUGCCCUCGGCUAAUCACUUACCACUUUCCACACUUCAGCUGUCUGCUGGUAAGACAGAUACCAUAAGUAGGCAGAAAGGCAGGCAGAGA